rnacentral:rRNA from 1 species
CCAAUAGCGUAUAUUAAAGUUGUUGCAGUUAAAAAGCUCGUAGUUGAAUUUCGGAAUCAGUACGCUGGUCGUGCCUUAGGUACGUACUGGUGUUACUGGUUCCUACCUUCUGACGAACCAUCAUGUCAUUAAUUUGGUGUGGCGGGGAAUCAGGACUGUUACUUUGAAAAAAUUAGAGUGUUUAAAGCAGGCUCGCGCUUGAAUACAUUAGCAUGGAAUAAUGAAAUAGGACGUUGAUCCUAUUUUGUUGGUUUCUAGGAUUGACGUAAUGAUUAAUAGGGAUAGUUGGGGGCAUUAGUAUUCAAUUGUCAGAGGUGAAAUUCUUGGAUUUAUUGAAGACUAACUACUGCGAAAGCAUUUGCCAAGGAUGUUUUCAUUAAUCAAGAACGAAAGUUAGGGGAUCGAAGACGAUCAGAUACCGUCGUAGUCUUAACCAUAAACUAUGCCGACUAGGGAUCGGAUGAUGUUAUUUUUAAUGACUCAUUCGGCGCCUUACG